CCCCUCUCUGGAUUGCACCUAGAGAGUUUCUAGAACUCUACCAGUCUCGGCUAUGGGAGGGAAAGUCAGGCAAAGACAUACCCAUUUCAUUCCUAGCUUGGGCAGUGGCUAGCAAGUGGAAAGCAAUCUGCUACAAGU